GUUCGAUAUUUUGCCACAUCGUAGGAAACUUUGAGGAGGUACGUGUACGCAUCGUCAUAGCCUUGAAAAUCAUUGGGAUGGCUUUUAUAAACGGACUGUUUCUCAGAAAGACACAUGUCGCUAACGCAUACAAAGAAGUCAUAUAUGCCAAAAUUGCCUGGGAGACAACAACCUUGAAAGAACUACAAGCCAGUUUUAAUGAUUUUGGUAAAAAAACGGACGUCAAAGUUGGGUUUGUAAAAGAAUUCUGCGAUAAAAACGGACUCCUCCCUAUCGCCAGUGGUAGUCAUUUUGCAUUCGACUGUAACGGAGAUUUAGACGGCGUUGUUUAUGUAAGCAUCGUUAGUGAAAGUGGGCGUGUUAUUUGCCCUCCGACUUCUGUCCAAGUCAACCGCAGCGUCAUCGUUGAUGCUAAAGGUUUCCUGAGGAGAGCCAAAUACAGAACAAUGUUUCAACUUGGCUCAAGCGAAAUUUGGGUCGAAGAAGACGGGACAGAUCACAGGGUGUGAUGAAUGUAAAAACGAUUAGCAAUGCACUAAAAACCAACGUUUAUUGUCCAAUAACCCCAAACCCUAGUGGUGAUGCAGAACAUUAUCCUUAUUAUAUUCAUCGUUACUUUUCUGUAGUUUCUCCAACUUGUAUUCUAAUUCUAACAGUUGAAUAGUAGUUAACCUUAACCAUUAUAAUGAUGCAAUACUGCCUAUUGCACCCCUGUCUCCUUUUUUUGGCAAAUAUAUGCAUUAGGUCUCA